rnacentral:snRNA from 1 species
CAAAGUGUAGUAUCUGUUCUUAUCAGCUUAAUAUCUGAUACGUACCCCAUCGGGGUACUUCGAUAUUAAACUGAUUUUUGGACACAGAUGAGGUGCCCGGAGCUUGCUCCGCCCUCAUCACGGGUUGCC